rnacentral:tRNA from 1 species
AGGCAGUUAGCUCAGUGGAAGAGCAUCUGUCUUACAAACAGAUGGUCACUGGUUCAAAUCCGGUACUGCCUA